rnacentral:rRNA from 1 species
CACGUAGGGACCGAGCGUUGUCCGGAUUUAUUGGGCGUAAAGAGCUCGUAGGCGGUUCAGCAAGUCGGGUGUGAAAACUCUGGGCUCAACCCAGAGACGCCACCCGAUACUGCUGUGACUAGAGUCCGGUAGGGGAGUGGGGAAUUCCUGGUGUAGCGGUGAAAUGCGCAGAUAUCAGGAGGAACACCGGUGGCGAAGGCGGGUCUCUGGGCCGAUACUGACGCUGAGGAGCGAAAGCGUGGGGAGCGAACAGG